AACGAACGCUGUCGGCAGUCCUAACACAUGCAAGUCGAGCGCCGUAGCAAUACGGAGCGGCAGACGGGUGAGUAACACGUGGGAACGUGCCUUCUGGUUCGGAAUAACUCAGGGAAACUUGAGCUAAUACCGAAUAAGCCCUUCGGGGGAAAGAUUUAUCGCCGGAGGAUCGGCCCGCGUAUGAUGAGCUAGUUGGUGAGGUAAUGGCUCACCAAGGCUACGAUCUUUCGCUGGUCUGAGAGGAUGAUCAGCCACACUGGGACCUAGACACGGGCCAGUCUCUUAGGGGAGGCAGGUGUGGGGAGUAUUGGACAAUGAGCGCAAGCCUGUUCAAGCCCUGCCGCGUGAGUGAUGAAGGCCUGAGGGUUGUAAAGCUCUUUUAGCAGGGACGAUAAUGACGGUACCUGCAGAAAAAGCCCCGGCCAACUUCGUGCCAGCCGCCGCGGUAAUAC
rnacentral:rRNA from 1 species